rnacentral:rRNA from 1 species
UACGUAGGGUGCGAGCGUUAAUCGGAAUUACUGGGCAUAAAGCGUGCGCAGGCGGCUUUGCAAGACAGAUGUGAAAUCCCCGGGCUUAACCUGGGAACUGCAUUUGUGACUGCAUGGCUGGAGUGCGGCAGAGGGGGAUGGAAUUCCGCGUGUAGCAGUGAAAUGCGUAGAUAUGCGGAGGAACACCGAUGGCGAAGGCAAUCCCCUGGGCCUGCACUGACGCUCAUGCACGAAAGCGUGGGGAGCAAACAGG